rnacentral:rRNA from 1 species
AUACGUAGGGGGCGAGCGUUGUCCGGAAUUACUGGGCGUAAAGGGUGCGUAGGUGGCACUUUAAGUUGGAUGUGAAAUCCCCGUGCUUAACUUGGGAGCUGCAUCCAAUGCUGGAGAGCUAGAGUGCAGGAGAGGUAAGCGGAAUUCCUAGUGUAGCGGUGAAAUGCGUAGAUAUUAGGAGGAACACCAGUGGCGAAGGCGGCUUACUGGACAGUAACUGACGCUGAGGCGCGAAAGCGUGGGGAGCAAACAGGAUUAGAUACCCUGGUAGUCCACACUGUGAACGAUGAAUGCUAGGUGUAGGGGGUAUCGACCCCUUCUGUGCCGCAGUCAACACAAUAAGCAUUCCGCCUGGGGAGUACGGCCGCAAGGUUGAAACUCAAAUGAAUGGGCGGGG